rnacentral:rRNA from 1 species
GAUGAACGCUAGCGGCAGGCUUAAUACAUGCAAGUCGAGGGGCAGCGGGAGUAGCAAUACUUGCCGGCGACCGGCGCACGGGUGCGUAACACGUAUGUAAUCUGCCCAUCACAGGAGGAUAGCCCGGAGAAAUUCGGAUUAAUACUCCAUAAUAGAAGAUAAAGCAUUUUAUUUCUUGAAAGUUCCGACGGUGAUGGAUGAACAUGCGACUGAUUAGUUUGUUGGUGAGGUAACGGCUCACCAAGACUACGAUCAGUAGGGGUACUGAGAGGUUAAAUCCCCACACUGGUACUGAGACAUGGACCAGACUCCUACGGGAGGCAGCAGUAAGGAAUAUUGGACAAUGGCCGCAAAGGCUGAUCCAGCCAUGCCGCGUGCAGGAAGACGGACCGUAUGGUUUGUAAACUGC